GCAAGUCGAACGAUGAAGCCGGAGCUUGCUCUGGUGAAUUAGUGGCGAACGGGUGAGUAACACGUGAGUAAUCUGCCCUUGACUCUGGGAUAACUGCGGGAAACUGUAGCUAAUACCGGAUACGACACCUUGGGGCAUCCCAUGGGUGUGGAAAGAAUUUCGGUCAAGGAUGAACUCGCGGCCUAUCAGCUAGUUGGUGAGGUAAUGGCUCACCAAGGCGACGACGGGUAGCCGGCCUGAGAGGGUGACC
rnacentral:rRNA from 1 species